rnacentral:lncRNA from 1 species
AAGUGCUAUGGGUCAUCCAGGUGAAGAUGUUCAGUAAUUUAACAAAUAUGUAUCAAGUGUCUCCUAUGUGCUAGGCACUGAUGAGUAUUUGAGGAGAGAGAUUUGGGAGUGAUUUGGGUAUCAUCAAUGUAUCAUAAAAGUUGAAGUCUUGGGAGGGGACAAUCCCACAUUCAGAGACGUGAUGUAGAUUAAGCCAAGAGAGGACUAAGGACAGGACUCAUCUCUGGGAAUGCCAAUAUUUAGGGGGCAGACUUGAGUUGCCAGAACAGAGACCAAAGAGGAGCUGCCAGAAAGGAAAGAAAACGCUUCUGGAGGAGAGUGUCCAAAAAGCCAAGGAAAGAACAAACUUCAGGAAAGAGGGAGAGGCCAACAACAUGGAAUUUCGAGGAGGUCAAUUAAGACCACUGAGUUUUGCAAGAAUAAGGUGCUCAUUAUAAAGCAUCUGAGGAGUUCAGAAGAGCACCAAGAAAUUUAAAAACUAAAGUCCUAAUACCUGUCUUCGACAUUAGGUGAACAUUCCAGACAUAUAUACAGACAGAAGACCACAUGGAUGACUUAUCAAGAAACGAAAAAUGUUUACAAAAAUGAGAUCCCACUACAGUAUUAUUUUUAUUUAUUUAUUUUUAUUUUUAUGUUUUUGAGACAGUCUUGCUGUUGCCCAGGCUGGGGUGCAGUGGCAUGAUCUAGGCUCACUGCAACGUCCGCCUCCUGAGUUCAAGCAAUUAUCCUGCCUCAGCCUCCCAAACUGGGAUUACAAACAUGUGCCACCACGCCCAGCUAAUUUUUCUGGGGUUUUUUUUUUCGUAGAGACGGGGUUUCACCAUGUUGGCCAGGCUGGUUUUGAACUCCUGACCUCAAGUGAUUCUCCCGUCUUGGCCUCCGAAAGUGCUAGGAUUAUGGGCGUGAGCCACUGCACCCAGCCUAUUUUAUUUAUUUUUCAGAAAAAGUCUCACUCUGGCCCAGGCUGGAGUGCAGUGGCACAAUCAUAGCUCACAGCAGCCUCCAACUCCUGGGCUCAAGCAGUCCUUCCACCUCAGCCUCCCAAGUAGCUGGGACUACAGGCCCAUGCCACCAGGCCUGGCUAAUUUUUUAAAAAAUAUAUUUUUAAGGCUGGGCACGGUGGCUCACGCCUGUAAUCCCAGCACUUUGGGAGGCAGAUCACUUGAGGCCAGGAAUUCAAGACCAGCCUGGCCAACAUGGUGAAACCCCGUCUCUACUAAAAAUACAAAACUUAGCCAGGAAUGGUGGCGCAUGCCUGUAAUCCCAGCUACUCAGAAAAAAAAAUUAUUUUUAGUAGAGAUGAGGUCUUGCUAUGUUGCACAGGCUGGCCUCAAACUCCUGGCUUCUAGCUAUCCUCCUACCUUGGUCUCCCAAAGUGCUGUGAUUACAGGCAUGAGCCACGGUGCCUGGCCCUGUGUUGUUUUACUGUUUAAAACUGUUUUACUGUUUACUGUUUAAAAACAGUAAAUAAGGUUAGGCAGAUGGCUCACGCCUGUAAUCCCAGCACUUUGGGAGGCCAAGAUGGGAGGAUUGUUUGAGCCCAGGAGUUCAAGACCAGCCUUGGGCAACAUAGCAAGACCUGAUCUCUACAAAAAACAGCUAGGCCUGGUGGUACACACCUGUAGUCCCAGCUACUUGGGAGGCUGAAGCAAGAGGAUGGCUUGAGCCUGGAAAGCAGAGGCUGCCUAGCCGAGAUCGUACCACUGCACUCCAGCCUGGGUGCCAGAGCAAGACCCUGCCUCAAAAAAAAAUAAAAAAGAAUUAGCUGUGCAAUUCAGAGUCAGCUAUGGCCUGAACGGAUUAAGAAGCUGGGGUGCCCUAGACUGGUGUUUGGGGAGAGUCCUGGGUUGGAAGGAGAUGACUGUAGUCUAGGCUGACCACAUGCAGACUCCUAGGUGACUUAUAGGGCUCAUCUGGGUGUGCUCAGGCUGGUGGGCAGAGGCCACGGUGGUGCUCCGCCUGGGGCUGAGGCAGAGCGUAACCCUGAUCCACUCCUGGAAAGCCAAGAAGCAUCCUAUGGCACACGUUCUAGUUUAGACAUACCUGCUGGGGAGCGUGCUUUGCAACAUGGAGGAGGGAGCACUUCUUCCUGGCAGGACACCCUGGGUCCUCAGAGGCACUCCAAGGUGCUCCAAAGUAUGACAGCUUUUACUAUUUUACUGCUGUUUACACUGCAGAAUAUAUGAAAGCCACACUCUCUUUUCGGGGAUAGAGACCCCUUGUUAGCCCUCCACUGAGAAGCAGUGGAGAAACUCUGAUAAACAAUGAUUGACUAAAUGCAUAUUCUGUGCCAAGAGCUUUUCAUAUACUAUACUAAGUCAUUCAAUGUAGUGACUAUAUAGUCAGUAUUCUUGCCCCUGCUUUAUACGUGAAGAAACUAUGCUUCAGAGAAAGCAGUUUGCCCAUGGUUGUCCUCAAGCAGAUGGAAUCCAAACCCACCGGGCAUGGUGGCCACACCUGUAAUCACAGCACUUUGGGAGACCAAGGUGAGAGGAUCACAUGAGCCCAGGAGUUCAAGACCAGCCUAGGCAACAUAGGAAGACCCUGUCUCUAC